rnacentral:rRNA from 1 species
GACAGAGGGUGCAAACGUUGUUCGGAAUUACUGGGCGUAAAGCGCGUGUAGGCGGCUCGGCAAGUCGGAUGUGAAAGCCCUGGGCUUAACCUAGGAAGUGCAUUCGAAACUGCCAAGCUUGAGUUCUGGAGAGGAAGGCGGAAUUCUCGGUGUAGAGGUGAAAUUCGUAGAUAUCGAGAGGAACACCGGUGGCGAAGGCGGCCAUCUGGGAGGGCACUGACGCUGAGACGCGAAAGCGUGGGGAGCAAACAGG